rnacentral:sRNA from 12 species
CCCACAGCUUGCGCUCAGGCUUUCGAUACGGCAGAGGACGUCCUGGCGUCAGACAUAUCCCGCGGAUAUGGAAUCGUUACGGAACCGCGCACACUGAGCGGCUCCACACGGCCGCAACGC